rnacentral:lncRNA from 1 species
GCUGUAGAUCUUAUCCUUCUGAAGUUACAGUGAAGCAGAUGGAAGCCAGAAAUCUCAUAUCCUUGAAACUACAUUGAAGUAGAUUGAAGCUACAAGGCCCAUAUCAGAAGAUGCAAUGAACUGAACCAAAGCUACAAGAUGCGAUGGACUAGUAAGAGACUGCCCGGAAAAGAAGAGCGCCAAAGAAGUCAACAAUUGGCAAGACCGGGCAAAAUUGGCUUUUCAUUAUGUCUUUGCUCUAUUCCCGUUACACGAUAAUGAGCAAAGAGGGGCAGCUGUUGUAGGCCAAUUUUGGCCCAAAUACAACCAAAUACCCACUCCAAUUUCAUCAGCCCAACAUCAUCAAACCUAAUCUAAACCAACAGCCCACCUAAACUAACCUACUAAACAUUUUCCAGCAAAGAAAAAAACCCUAGCCACCUCCCCACUUUCCUCUGACACCAGCCACCAUCACCUGCUCCACCAGUCACCCCCAUGCCCUACAAAAACAGAGCAAACAAGUAAGACGGGAAAAUAUGGAAAAAGUAAUAAAAAAACUUGUAAAAGAUGGCUAUAAAAAGCCAUUCAAAAAUGUUGUAAAGCGGGGGGUUUAUUUUUUUUUGUAAAAGAAAGAUUGUAACACAGAUAUUGGAAAUAAAAACGGAUACAAAAACAAAAAAAGAGAAGGAAGGUUCAAGAGGUUUAGUUUUGUUCUUUUUUUUUCUUUUUUUCUUCUUUUUGUUCUCUGCUUACCUUGUUUUUUUUUUCAUAUUUAUUCAUUGUUUUUUUUUCCUUUUCUUUUUUCAAGAAAACCUUUUUUUAACAAAGAAACAUAAAAAAUUUUAAAGUAGGCAUACCUAGGUUGCGCUCCUUCGCUGUACACGGCGGUCACCGCCGUCGUCGUUGGCGGUAGGGCGGGUCUCUAAGGAACCCAAUCGACAGAAAGAAAAAGGGGGAGGGGAAGAGAGCAUGGAAGUUUUUUUUGUUUUUUUUUUAAGAUUGGGG